UACGUAGGGGGCGAGCGUUGUCCGGAUUUAUUGGGCGUAAAGAGCUCGUAGGCGGUUUGGUAAGUUGGAUGUGAAAUCUCCAGGCUCAAUUUGGAGGGGUCAUUCGAUACUGCCAUGACUAGAGUUCGGUAGGGGAGUGUGGAAUUCCUGGUGGAGCGGUGAAAUGCGCAGAUAUCAGGAGGAACACCCGUAGCGAAGGCGGCACUCUGGGCCGGAACUGACGCUGAGGAGCGAAAGCGUGGGGAGCGAACAGG
rnacentral:rRNA from 1 species